AGUUGGUAGUCAGCACGAGCGCNACCCCUUUCCUUAGUUGCCAGCACAUAAUGGUGGGGACUCUAAGGAUACUGCCCGGGAUAACCGGGAGGAAGGUGGGGAUGAUGUCAAGUCAGUAUGUCCCUUAUGUCCAGGGCUACACACGUGUUACAAUGGCCGGUACAAUGGGUUGCCAAACCGCGAGGUGGAGCCAGUCCCAAAAAACCGGUCCCAGUUCAGAUUGGAGUCUGCAACUCGACUUCAUGAAGUCGGAAUCGCUAGUAAUCGCGUAUCAGCACGACGCGGUGAAUACGUUCCCGGGUCUUGUACACACCGCCCGUCACGCCAUGGAAGUCGGUAGUGCCCAAAGCAGGUGGCCUAACCUUCGGGAAGGAGCCUGUUAAGGUAAGACUGGUAACUGGGGCGAAGUCGUAACAAGGUAGCCGUACCGGAAGGUGCGGCUGGAACACCUCCUUU
rnacentral:rRNA from 1 species